GCAGGGUGGCCACCCAUUAAUCAGCAAAAGUUAGAAUGGGUGCAACUCGGCAGUCGUUGCGCAGGCACUUUGGUGACUCUAGAACCUUGGGCCGAUCACACGUCCCCGUGACGGCAACGACACAUUCGGAUGUAUGCCCUAUCAACUUUCGAUGGUACAUUCUGCGCCUACCAUGGUGACCACGGGUAACGGGGAAUCAGGGUUCGAUUACGGAGAGAGAGCCUGAGAAACAGCUACCACAUCCAAGGAAGGCAGCAGGCGUGCAAAUUACCCACUCCCGAUGCGGGGAGGUAGUGAC